UACAGAGGUCUCAACCGUUGUUCGGAUUCAUUGGGCGUAAAGGGUGCGUAGGCGGUCGCGCAAGUCGGAUGUGAAAUCUCAGGGCUCAACCCUGAAACUGCAUUCGAUACUGCGUGGCUAGAGUACUGGAGAGGAGACUGGAAUUUACGGUGUAGCAGUGAAAUGCGUAGAUAUUGGGAAGAACACCGGUGGCGAAGGCGGCGCUCUGGACCGAGACUGACGCUGAGGCGCGAAAGCGUGGGGAGCAAACAGG
rnacentral:rRNA from 1 species